rnacentral:rRNA from 1 species
UUCCAGCUCUGAAAGCGUAUACUAGAGUUGUUGCGGUUAAAAAGCUCGUAGUUGGGAGAAGGAGACAUUGAGAAAAAUAGAGUGUUUAAGGGUGAAGUGGGAGAGCACAGGACGUCCUGUCUUCUUCUUUCUUGCAAAAGAGAGAGGGAGGGGGAGAGAAUAGAAACAAUAGAGGAUAUUAGUAUUUUAUAGUUAGAGGUGAAAUUCUAUGAUUUAUGAAAGACUAACAGGGGCGAAAGCAUUUAUCUCU